rnacentral:rRNA from 1 species
GAGCACUGGGGCUCCUGGGUCUCCGAGAUCCGCCAUCCUCUUCUGAAGACUAGGAUCUGGCUGGGCUCGUACGAGACGGCGGAGGACGCGGCGCGGGCGUACGACGAGGCGGCGCGCCUCAUGAGCGGGCCCGCGGCGCGCACCAACUUCCCCUCCAGCGCCCCCGGCGGCGGCGGCCUGUCCCCUGCCCUGCGCGCCAAGGUGGAGAAAUGCUGCAUGCCGACGGCGAGGGGCGCCGAGAUGACCGUGGCGGCCAGUGCCAGAGGCUACGCCGCCCAGCGAAGCGUCGACGAGGAGGAGGAGUGCAUCGAGGAGAUGAUCAGGGAGCUCACCCACUACGGCUCUGUGGAGAUCGUCCUCUCCUCCGCCUGCUCCAGCAGUCCAGCUCCGUAA